rnacentral:rRNA from 1 species
CAGUCGCCGCGGGAAUACGUAGGGUGCGAGCGUCAAUCGGAAUUACUGGGCGUAAAGCGUGCGUAGGCGGUGAGUUAAGUCUGCUGUGAAAUCCCCGGGCUCAACCUGGGAAUGGCAGUGGAUACUGGCUCGCUAGAGUGUGUCAGAGGAUGGUGGAAUUCCCGGUGUAGCGGUGAAAUGCGUAGAGAUCGGGAGGAACAUCAGUGGCGAAGGCGGCCAUCUGGGACAACACUGACGCUGAGGCACGAAAGCGUGGGGAGCAAACAGGAUUAGAUACCCCGGUAGUCCCUGUCUCUUAUAC